rnacentral:lncRNA from 1 species
CGUAACAAAGAUUUGGCUGGCUGCUGUUAUUUUACUCAAAUUCUUCCUUACUCUUGUUACAGUAGAGGAGCAGGAGACUGCAGGCUCACCCAACCUUCUCACGGGUGCCUUGAGCAGGAGUACAGUGUCUCUCCCCACACACAUUAGGGCCAUGCAGCUAUGAUGCAUGGCAACUAGAAGAGCUGAAAGAUCACAGAGACUGAAACCCCUUUCCAGAAACCAGCUCCAGAGCACAGGUACCUGCAGAGGUGUUAGAUCCCUUGGCUGGAGUUACAGGUGCUUGUGAGCCUCCUAGCAUAUGUAGGUGGUGAAACUCAGGACCUCUACUUAAGAGCUAAGCCACCUGUCCAUUUAAUCUUUUUUAAAUGUGAUAGCUAUUUAAAAUUCUACCCUACUUUUGGAUCUACUCAGAUGAGCAAAGAUGGCUGGAUUACAUCAUUGAUGUUCACAGACUGUCCCCAGAGCAGCACCUAAUAGGAUGGAUUACCAGACCCUUCCCAAGUCUCAAAAAGGGUCCUAUGUGAAAUCAAAGACACUGCCAUAGGAAAGACAGUGUGGUAGAAACAUGUGUUACAUAUAUACCUAAAUCCAAAAUGCACCAAGGUGAAUGACUAGCUAGCUGGUACAUUUAGGUGAGAAUUUUCCUUAACAGCCACUUUCCAACUUUGUGGUGGUCACUAUAUUUUGUCAAAAAAAAAAAAAAACAAAAAAACUGUUCAUUAAAAAAAUUCUGCUCUUUUUGUCAUCAAAACUGAGUUGAGAGCCAGAGAGAUGGCUUAGCAGGUAAAAGUACUUGCCACUAGGCCCGAUGACCUGAAUUCAAUCUCCAGGGUGCACAGGUUGAAGGAGAGAUCUGUCUCCUACAGGUUGCCCUCUGGCUUUCACAGAUGUGCUGUGGUGUGCAUGCACACACCCAUACAAGUUAGUUAGAUAAAGUCAAAGGUUAAAACUGAGUUUAAAUCUCUUUUGUUAGAUAUACAGAAUGAAGUUUUAAGUCUUGUCAGAAGAAAAGGUAGCUGCUAUGUACUGUCUUAAAUAAGGGUAAUAUGAAGCCACAUCUGACAGAAAAUGCCUUUGUGGAUUUAUUCAUCACAAUAAUGUUGAUGACAUUAACUGAAAUAUACUCAGAGAGUUCCUGUGUUCACUUCAGGUAAGCUCACCCUUGGAUGACAACCUUGGUGUCCUCAUCAGACUCAUCCCUCAUGGGAACCUAAUAUUAGGGGGUCUGUACUAGAGAGUGCAGGUAUUUUAGAAAGUUCCAUUUGGACCUGGAGCUGCAGCUUCUUUCAGAAAUCUUUUGCUUAAGAUAACACUAAGAGAACACAGUGGGCUUGGGUCCAGUUUAUUACCUUCCUAGUUUAGAAGGAGGUCUUAUGGAGAAUACAGAUAAAGUCCUGGGAGUUGAAUGGAGAAAAACUGGGCCCAACUCAAGGUAAAAUUGAUUGUCAACCUUAGAUUAAUAAAGGUUAUAUUACAGGGAACCCUACCAAAAGGCUCCUCUUUUUUUUUAAAUAUUUUUAUUAGAUUAUUUUCUUCAUUUACAUUUCAAAUGCUAUCCCAAAAGUCCCCUAUACCCUCCAAAAGGCACCUCUUUUAAAGGAAUAACUCACUUCACAAGCAGUUAGCUAAUCCUUUAGUAUCAUUUAGUGUUUCCAUGUUUACAUUUAGAUUUUCAUUAAUGUGCUGCUAUUGAACAUCUUUCAUGAUUUAAAAGCUGUAAAAUAUUUUAAUCUGUGAUGCAUUUGUUUACAAAGCCAACCACUUAAUUCUAUAUAAUAUGUAGCACUUGAAACCAUCUGUUAGGAACAUUUGAAGACUUUGGUGCACAUCGUGAAGAUGUAUACAGCAAACGAGAAACAAAACAUGAAAUAUUCAGGCCGUGUUUGUGAUGGAGGGAAAAAAAAAACCAUGUAUUUUAAGUUUGAAAACAUUGCAGUCUGAAUUUUGACAAAGCAGCUUCCCAGAGUAAAGCACUUUUCUAAUUUCAGGCAAAUGUCAAACUGACAUUUUAGAAGCCGGGGAGAUGACUUUGUAGAUAAAUGUUCUUGAUGCACAACAUGAAGAACUGAGUUCAAAUCCCCAGUGCGGAUGUAAGUAUGGCCAUGCACAGACCUGUGCUGUGAAGAGUGGAGACUGAAGGACCCAGUGUCCUUCUCUGGCCUCUUGCACACACAUGGGAGAGGCUCAUUUUAACUGAUCUGAAGUAAAAAUAUUGGCAUAAUAUGAACUAGAAUUAUGCUUCUGAGAGUUUGUGUUUCAGAAUAGUUAACUGUCGCAUGGGGCUCUCUUGAGAAGUUGCUGCUGUGAAGCCAAGAGAGAGGCUGUGGUGAGUGAGGGGUGUCAUCCUGGGAGGCAAAGCACCAUGUGUCCUUUGUGGUCUCGCAAAUGCUGAUCUGGGCAAAACACUCAUAUACAUAAAACAAGAUAAUCUAUAAAACAUGGGCGGAAUCCAGGAAGGACUGUAGUCUCUGCCACACAAUUGCCAUCAGCACUGCCUUCCUGGAUUCCUCUUUACAUGUUUUAGAUUAUCUUGGCUUAUGUAUAUGAGUGUUUUGCCUACAUUCAUGUAUAUGUACCAAAUGCAUGCAAUAAGAAGGCCAACAGAAGGCAUAGGAUCUGGAACUGGGGUUAUGCAUGACUGUGAGCCAGCAUAUAGGUGCUGGGAACAGAUCAGGUCCUCUGUAAGAGCAACAAACACUCUUAACCCCCGAGUCAUCUCUGAAGUGCUUUUAAUCCUCUAUUCUAGUGCCCAGUGUUUUGUUUUGUUUUGUUUACAAUGGCUACUACCUACAGUAGCACUGUGACCACUCAUAGGUGUUACACAAAGCACAUUUUCUUGUCAAAAACUCUAGCAAGAUCACAGUAGUUUAUGAUAUGUUAACCUGCUGCUGGCUGUUCCAGACCUAUCGUUGUGCUAGGAUUAAUUCAAAUCUUACCCUUCCCUUCAAUUUUUUUUAUCAGUAUUAUCAAAGACCCUAUAAGUACUUAUUACUUCCUACCCAAGAUAAUGGGCAGUUCUCCCUUCUCUUGAUUCCCCUAGAUUGAUCAUUUUGUCAUUGAAUCAACCUCACCCUAAGGCCUUCCUCCUCGUAGAGGUGUGUGAUACGUUGAGUUGAAUCAAAGUCACCCAAGUCUUCACCCUGGUUUUAUGUUUACAUUUCCUGGUGACUGAAUGAGCUUCCCUAUCUGCAAGUCUGAACGACAAGUUUUUAUAUUUGUUGUUUUACCAACUUUUUGUAUUUCCACACACGUGUUCCCAUUAAUUUAUGUCAUCGUUUUGAACUAGCAACAUUUUGAGUUUCAAGCCUUUGGCUCCCUGGAACUAACAUUUAGAAUCCCAGACUUAGUUCAUCUCCAGCAAAGUCAAAUUUUAUAUGCUUAUUUGGGUUUAAUAUGAUUCUUUUGAAACUCGUGAGGAAUUCUUGGCCAGUGGGGGGGAGUUGAGUUUAGUCUUUGGAUUUCUAACAUGAACUCCUAGCGUGGGUCCAUAUUUAAAGACUUGCUGGAUGAAUGACAGUUAUUAAGAUUCCUAUGGCUGCUAUGAGUCUGUUUUAAAAUAGUUUUGUUAUAAUGGAACACCCUCUGCAAUGAGUAAAAAUAAGAGGGAGUGUGGAUUCACACAAGAAGGCAAAUGAUUGGUGUGAAAGCAUUGCCAGGGUGAACUGUGAACAGGCAGAAAUACUCAAUUCAGACUCCUGUCCCAGGGUGCCAGACUUUGAUGGGCAUGUGGCCCAUGUUUUGAUGACUGGCCCACAGCAGAGGCUUGUAUGUCUGCAUCCUGCUCCCUGACAUCCUGAACAGGAGACUCAUGCUCACCUUUGCCACCAUGCUCAAUGACUGCAAGUUGCAUCCCUGAUACUUGGUAAAUGCAUGUUUGAGAAGAGAGAGGAUGGAAGGGUAAAGUGGCUUGUUCUUUGGAGCACAGUAAAGGAAGGUGGAUUUUGUU